GGAGAGAUGGCCGAGUGGUUGAAGGCGGCGGCCUCGAAAGCCGUUGUGCCGUUUAUACGGCACCGUGGGUUCGAAUCCCACUCUCUCCGCCA
rnacentral:tRNA from 1 species